AUGUAUGAUGACGGAACUUUUUU
rnacentral:piRNA from 1 species